GUUUUUAUGGUGUAAUACAUAUAGACCUUUCAAGUCUAAGAAAAACGAAAGUUUUGAAAACA
rnacentral:tRNA from 1 species